rnacentral:rRNA from 1 species
UACGUAGGGGGCAAGCGUUGUCCGGAUUUAUUGGGCGUAAAGAGCGUGUAGGCGGCCAUACAGGUCCGUUGUGAAAACUCGAGGCUUAACCUCGAGACGUCGAUGGAAACCGUAUGGCUAGAGUCCGGAAGAGGAGAGUGGAAUUCCUGGUGUAGCGGUGAAAUGCGCAGAUAUCAGGAAGAACACCCGUGGCGAAGGCGGCUCUCUAGUACGGUACUGACGCUGAGACGCGAAAGCGUGGGGAGCGAACAGG